AAUCAACGCUGGCGGCGUGCCUCAGACAUGCAAGUCGAACGCGAAAGUUUCCUUCGGGGAACAAGUAGAGUGGCGCACGGGUGAGUAACACGUAGGUAAUCUACCUUUGGAUGGGGAAUAAUAACCGGAAACGGUUGCUAAUACCGCAUAAUGCAGCGGCACCUAAUGGUGACAGUUGUUAAAGCGGGGGAUCGAAAGACCUCGCGUCUGAAGAGGAGCCUGCGGCGGAUUAGCAGUUGGUAAGGUAAUGGCUUACCAAGGCGACGAUCCGUAACCGGCCUGAGAGGGCGGUCGGUCACACUGACACUGACAUACGGGUCAGACUCCUACGGGAGGCAGCAGUCGGGAAUUUGGGCAAUGGGCGAAAGCCUGACCCAGCAACGCCGCGUGAAGGAUGAAAUCCCUC
rnacentral:rRNA from 1 species